UUACGCUAUAUUAUAAAAAGAAUUAAACUAAAAGAGAUAUUUAUGGUGCCGUGGAAUUUGUUUCACAAAUAGUAGUUACAUUAAUGCACGGUGUAUCACCUCUAUAAUACAAUGACUGAACUUUCAAUGAAUUUCUGCACUCAUUCAUUCAGAUCACUCAUUUCCAUUCAUCACUCCACUUUCUACCAUGGCUGCUGACUUGAUUACCGGUACUCUUGUGUCCACCUUCGUUCAGAUGACUAUUGACAAUUUGGCUUCUCGUUUUGUGGACAUAUUUCGUGGAAAUAAAAGCAACAAGAAGCAGCUAAGCAACUUGAAGAUGAAACUCCAAGCCGUUGAUGUUGUGGCUGAUGAUGCAGAACAGAAACAGUUCACAGAUCUACGUGUGAGAGACUGGCUUCUCACAGCCAAAUGUGUCAUGCUUGAUACAGAGGAUCUCUUGGAGGAAAUAGAUCAUGCACUCUCCAAAAGCCAAGUGGAAGCUGAGUCUCAGAGUUCUGCUAAAAAGGUGUGGAAUUCCCUCAAAUCUUCUUUCGUCAGUUUCUUUAAAAAUGAAAUUGAAUCAAGGAUGGAAAAACUCAUUGAGAACCUAGAAUAUCUAGCAACACAAAGCCAUGAUCUAGGUUUGAAAACGGUCGAUGAUGUUGGGGUGGGAUCAGUAUUCGGCAGUAAACUACGAUCAACAUAUUUGCCAAACGAAAGUGUUAUCUAUGGCAGAGAUGAUGACAAAGAAUUUGUCAUUAACUGGCUCACAUCUGACAUUCCCAACAACCUAUCUAUACUUUCUAUAGUGGGAAUGGGAGGGGUGGGUAAGACUACUCUUGCCCAACAUGUAUUCAAUGAUCUAAGGGUGGAUGAGGCUACAUAUGAUGUCAAAGCGUGGGUUUGUGUUUCAGUUGAAUUUGAUGUUUUGAAGGUAUCAAGAAAAAUUCUUGAGGAUGUUACUGGAUCACCUGAUGAGAGUACAAAUACAGAUAUGGUUCACAGAAGGUUGAAAGAAAAUCUGACGGGGAAAAAAUUUCUUCUUGUUUUGGAUGAUGUUUGGAACGAAAACCUAUCUAAUUGGGAAGAAGUGCAGAAGCCACUUCUUUUCGGAGCGCAAGGGAGUAGGAUUGUUGUGACUACCCGUAGUAAGGAAGUUGCUUCUACCAUGCGGUCAGAAGAACACUUUCUAGAGCAAUUGCAGGAAGAACAUAGCUCCAAGUUGUUUGCUAAACAUGCAUUUCAUAAUGAUACUCAACCAAAUCCACAGUGCAGGGAGAUUGGCAUGAAGAUUGUUAAAAAAUGUAAAGGAUUACCUCUUGCCUUAAAAACAAUAGGAAGUCUAUUAUACAACAAAUCAUCUGUUUCAGAAUGGGACACUGUGUUCCAAAACGAGAUAUGGGAACUGCCAAAAGAGCGUUGUAAUAUUGUUCCCGCUUUAGCAUUGAGCUAUAUCCACCUUCCUUCCCAUUUGAAGGCAUGCUUUGCUUAUUGUGCCUUGUUCCCCAAGGAUUAUGAGUUUAAGAAGGAACGUUUGAUACAAUUGUGGAUGACUGAAAACUUCCUACAGCAAAGUAAGACUCCGGAAGAAACUUGCCAACAAUACUUCAAUGAUCUACUAUCAAGGUCCUUCUUUCAACGAUCAGGUGAUACGGAAGAACUGUUUGUGAUGCAUGACCUUCUAAAUGAUUUGGCAACAUAUGUCGCUGGAGACAUAUAUUUCAGGUGGGAACUUGGUCAAACAAAUAAGAUACAAAAAGUAACUCGGCAUUUUUUAUUUGAACUUAGUAACUUUGGGCACUUUCAUGGGUUUGGAACUUUAUGCAAAACGAAAAGGUUGCGUACAUUUCUUCCAACAUCAGAUAGGAAAUUGGUUUACUUUUAUUGGUAUUGUAAUAUGCGGAUAGAUGAAUUAUUGACCAAGUUCAAGUUCUUGCGUAUCUUAUCGCUCUCUCAUUGUUCUAAUCUUGAAGAGUUACCUGACUCUGUCGGCAAUCUUGAGCAUCUCCGUUCAUUAGACCUCUCCUUUACAAACAUAAAAAAACUAUCUGAAAAGAUAUGUUCACUUUCCCACUUGCAAAUACUGAAGUUGAACUGUUGUAGCCUUUUGGAGGAGUUGCCCUCAAAUUUGCAUUUAAUCACCACUUUGUGUCGCCUUGAAUUUAUAUACACUAAAGUGAGAAAAGUGCCACCAGGUUUGGAAAAACUAAAGAAUCUUACAGUAAUAAUGAAUACUUUUGGUGUUGACCAUAGCAUGGAGUCGGGUAUUCAACGGCUAGGAAAGCUCAACAACCUUUAUGAAGACCUAAGAAUUUGGGGACUGCAGGACAUAGAGAAUCCUGAGGAUGCAUUAGAAGCCGAUUUGAAGAGUAAAACACACCUUAUGAGUCUGACAUUGGGAUGGGAGAGGACGGGGAACUCUAUUGAUUCAAAAAAAGCAGAGGACGUACUUGAGAAUCUGCAACCUUCCAAAAACUUAGAGGUAUUGUCAAUCUUUAACUAUGGUGGGAAUAAAUUUCCAAAUUGGUGGUUACUUGAUGAUUCCUUACCAAACCUGGUGUCCUUAGUGUUGCGCAAUUGUGAUUCUUGCCAACAUUUACCUCCGCUUGGUCUUUUGCCAUUUCUGAAUAACCUGUAUAUUUCAGGGUUUGAUGAGAUAGUGAGCAUUGAUGCUGAUUUUCAUGGAAACAACUCUUCUUCAUUUCAAUCCCUUAAAAAUUUGGAGUUCUCUGAUAUGAAGCAAUGGGAAAAAUGGGAAUGCCAAGCUGUGACAGGUGCUUUUCCAAAUCUUCAAAUUCUUUCUAUAAAGGAUUGUCCGAAACUGAAAGGACAGCUGCCAAAGCUACCUGUUCCUUUAGGAACACUAAAAAUUACAGAAUGCCAACAACUUGAAGCUUUCCUUCCCAGGACUCGAGCAUUAGACCUACGUGACGGUGGAAAGUUGCAAUUGGAUUGGGCUACAAUGAAAUGGCCUAGAAUGGGCGGGCACCACAUGAAAGCAUUAUUCUCUGAAGGUGAUGGGUCCCACACUCUUGAUGACUUGGAAAUUGAAGAGUCAAUCAGUGAUGACUCUAUCCCUCUAACGACCUUUCCACUAGACUCCUUUCCAACAGUGAAGACACUUGUUCUUUCUGGGUUUGGUAAUCUACAGAUGAUUUCACAGGAUGACGUUCACAAUCACCUCCAGUAUCUGGAAAUCAAAGAGUGCCCUGAAUUAGAAUCAUUGCCUGCAAACAUGCAUAUGUUGCUUCCAUCUCUCUGGAUGCUAGAGAUAAUAGACUGUCCAAGACUCAAGUUGUUGUCUAAAGGUGGUUUGCCAUCGAAUCUAGAAAGGAUGAAACUCAUUAAUUGCUCUAGAUUUGUUGGGUCACUGAAAGGAGCUUUCGGAGACAUUUCUUCUUUGGAAAGCUUGGAGAUAUCAAAACUGGAUGCAGCAUGUUUUCCUGAUGAAAGUUUGCUUCCACCCUCUCUUGCCGAACUUACCAUUCGUGAUUGUCCAAACCUAGAAAAACUAGACUAUAAGGGGCUUUCUCAACUCUCUUCUCUCCAAUCGUUGGUUCUUGAGGACUGCCCCAAACUUCAAUGUUUACCAGAGCACGGUCUUCCCCAACCAAUUUCGAAUCUUAAAAUAAUCAAUUGUCCUUUGCUCAAACAGCGUUGCCAGAGAAGAGGCGAAGACUGGGAAAAGAUUGCUCACAUUCAAUAUCUGAACAUAAGUUGUCAGGCCUCGGAAAACCCACCCAAACCCCACCUGUCGGGUCUCAUUAAAAGCGCACUUAGAAACUCUCUGAGCGGACGUCAGGUGUCAAGCAACAAGGAUCAGAAAUCAGAUAGUGGAAUGCAGGUGUCAGCAGAAGAGCGGAUGUUCAUUUUGACGUGGGAAGAAAACUGAUUUUUCUGAAAGCUUCCGUCCCACUCUCUUCUGCAUGCACCUUCUCCUUUCCAAACUCUGACUUUCCAUUUCUCCUUCUUCUCUCUAGAAAACUCUCCCUUCUCUCUACUGUAACUUAUCCUUCUCUUCUCCGAUCAUCAUUUCAGAAACCGUAGAAGUGUUCCCGGCGCCAUAAGCUUCAUUUUGAACCGAUCAUUUUCGAGUUCUGAAACCGAGCAGUUGAGCGUUAAGGGUAAAAAGGGAUCUUAGUUCUUUUGCAAACCAAGUUGCAGACUAUAGGACGUCCGUUCACACUAGAGAUGGAAGCGCGCUACUUGAAGAUGCGCUGGAAGAAGAAAAUUUGGAAGAUGCGAACCUCGUAGAUGUGGAAGUGAAGGCCGAACAGUAGGACGUUCGGUUGUAGUUAGUAUUUUUGCAUGAAGUGACCGUUCGGUCACUUCCUUUUCCUUUUUUUGUUAUUCGACCGUUCGGUAAUUUAGCUUCUGUAAGCCGUUCGGUCAUGUUUCACUUAAAUCUUGUACUGUUCACU